UAAGAAACUGACAAAAUCUCCACAAAUUUCCACAUUGAAACCGACCCAGUUCACAAUUCCAACAAAAUAGUGCGAGAAACCAAACCUGAGUGACAUCCUCAGCAAUGUUGAGACCUUCAACCUCAGUCUGUGGCGUAACGGACACUGCUUUGCACGCCACAGAGGAUCCACACUUGUAAUUCUUGGACUUGAGACUCAGGCGAGAGGCUGAUGUAGCGGGACCCACGAGGAACUGUUUGAGGAGAGGCUCUGAUGAAGAGGAGGAGAGCAACAAGAGCUCUGGCUUUUGC
rnacentral:misc_RNA from 1 species